AGAGCUGCUGGAAUUAUACCACGAUGAUUUCAGAGGAAAUGUCCUUCUCUAAACAUUCUGAUCCCAAGAUAAGGAGCAGCAUCGACAUUGGAUUAUAUCUGUGUGGAAGCUGGCUUAACAACACACGUUCUCAGUCAUAAAGAGCAAGAUUAGACUGUUUCCUGGUCAGUCUUUUCCUGGUCGUCCUGGUGAAAGGCACCCAUCAUCCAUAAGACAUCACUGGGUGCAUUAGCUCACUGAUCUGCGAUGGACAAGAUGGGCCUGAGUCUUAACGCAACGUGGAGCCCGUCAAAAAGCAGGGGACGAGAACCAGUCCAAUGAAGACAGCAGGAAAGACCAUGGCUAAUACAACAACAGAAUAUGCACCAGCAAGAGGGGAGAAAAGCCACCGCGAAGUAAAGAGUUCAAGCAAUCUUAAAAGUCAGCCAAUAAGCGGAAGGCAUCCGGAUCCAGUAAACAGUAGAACUGUUCCUGUGACAGACAGAGAUGUGAAACAAUGAAUCAGAGUUUCUUGAGAUGGCUCUUCCUACACACAGUGAAUCCUCUCCCUUUCUCUCUUGACAACACUGAGUACAUCAGGACGUGGAGUAUCACUGCCCAGCCCUGUCUUUGAGGAGCAGGACUCCUGGCUGAAGACGUGCUUUGAACAUGGGGGUUCUGGGCCCAACUGUGGAUGCUAACUGAACUGAUUUUAUCUGAGCAAAGACAAA